rnacentral:rRNA from 1 species
UACGUAGGUGGCAAGCGUUUGUCCGGAUUUAGCUGGGCGUAAAGAGCGCGCAGGCGGUCCGAUCAGUCGGAAUCGUGAAAGCCCCCGGCUCAACUGGGGAGGGUCAUUCGAUACUGUCGGACUCGAAGGCAGGAGAGGGAAGCGGAAUUCCCGGUGUAGUGGUGAAAUGCGUAGAUAUCGGGAGGAACACCGAGUGGCGAAGGCGGCUUCCUGGCCUGUUCUUGACGCUGAGGCGCGAAAGCUGAGGGGAGACCAAACGGGG